rnacentral:rRNA from 1 species
ACGGGUGAGUAAUGCAUCGGAACGUGCCCAGUAGUGGGGGAUAGCCCGGCGAAAGCCGGAUUAAUACCGCAUACGACCUGAGGGUGAAAGGGGGGGAUCGCAAGACCUCUCGCUAUUGGAGCGGCCGAUGUCAGAUUAGGUAGUUGGUGGGGUAAAGGCCUACCAAGCCGACGAUCUGUAGCUGGUCUGAGAGGACGACCAGCCACACUGGGACUGAGACACGGCCCAGACUCCUACGGGAGGCAGCAGUGGGGAAUUUUGGACAAUGGGCGCAAGCCUGAUCCAGCCAUGCCGCGUGCGGGAAGAAGGCCUUCGGGUUGUAAACCGCUUUUGUCAGGGAAGAAAUCUUCUGGGUUAAUACCUCGGGAGGAUGACGGUACCUGAAGAAUAAGCACCGGCUAACUACGUGCCAGCAGCCGCGGUAAUACGUAGGGUGCAAGCGUUAAUCGGAAUUACUGGGCGUAAAGCGUGCGCAGGCGGUUUUGUAAGACAGAGGUGAAAUCCCCGGGCUCAACCUGGGAACUGCCUUUGUGACUGCAAGGCUUGAGUGCGGCAGAGGGGGAUGGAAUUCCGCGUGUAGCAGUGAAA